ACGAGAGUGGCGGAAUUGGUAGACGCACUGGACUUAGAAUCCAGCGGUUUAUCCAUACGGGUUCAAGUCCCGUCUCUCGCACCA
rnacentral:tRNA from 1 species